UACGUAGGGUGCGAGCGUUGUCCGGAAUUAUUGGGCGUAAAGAGCUCGUAGGCGGCCUGUCGCGUCGGUUGUGAAAGCCCGGGGCUUAACCCCGGGUCUGCAGUCGAUACGGGCAGGCUAGAGUUCGGUAGGGGAGAUCGGAAUUCCUGGUGUAGCGGUGAAAUGCGUAGAUAUCGAGAGGAACACCUGCGGCGAAGGCGGGUAGCUGGGCCGACACUGACGCUGAUGCGCGAAAGCCAGGGGAGCGAAGCGGG
rnacentral:rRNA from 1 species